rnacentral:rRNA from 1 species
GACGAACGCUGGCGGCGUGCCUAAUACAUGCAAGUAGAACGCUGAAGGAGGAGCUUGCUUCUCUGGAUGAGUUGCGAACGGGUGAGUAACGCGUAGGUAACCUGCCUGGUAGCGGGGGAUAACUAUUGGAAACGAUAGCUAAUACCGCAUAAUAGUAGAUGUUGCAUGACAUUUGCUUAAAAGGUGCACUUGCAUCACUACCAGAUGGACCUGCGUUGUAUUAGCUAGUUGGUGAGGUAACGGCUCACCAAGGCGACGAUACAUAGCCGACCUGAGAGGGUGAUCGGCCACACUGGGACUGAGACACGGCCCAGACUCCUACGGGAGGCAGCAGUAGGGAAUCUUCGGCAAUGGACGGAAGGCUGACCGAGCAACGCCGCGUGAGUGAAGAAGGUUGUCGGAUCGUAAAGCUCUGUUGUAAGAGAAGAACGAGUGUGAGAGUGGAAAGUUCACACUGUGACGGUAUCUUACCAGAAAGGGACGGCUAACUACGUG